rnacentral:other from 1 species
CAGGAGCUGCCCGGUACGUUAUUCGCACAUCAACCUCUGGGCCGAUAAGCACUCCGAAGGGGGCCAGCACUGUUGCGAUCGUGGUCGCAUUAUCCGGUCACCCACCUGUUAAAGCAGGUCCGGGAGAGCUGAUUUGAAGACGGCCAUGGCGGCUCCGCU